rnacentral:lncRNA from 1 species
CUCCCUUCUUCGACCUGAAGCGACACUUUCCUGUGCUCUAGGAGGACUUGGGUCUUGUGAGAGUCGCCCUUUGCUCCUGGAGUCGUCUCACAAGGCCGUUCACUCCCUGCUUUCUUCAAAAAAAGAACCUGCAGGCGACACACCAAGGACUCCACGAGGGAGUCCUGAGUACUGGAGCGAGUUGCGGCCACGCGGCCGCAGCUCACCACUGGCCUAGAGAUGCCCUUUGCGAGGCGGCAGCAACUGACAAGAUGGUCGCGGGUCGCCGGGUCCGGAGCCGCCCACCAGGUUGCCAGGAGGAGGCGGGAGCGGGGAGGCGCCCGAGGUGAGACAGGGGCACCCUCUGCAUCAUAAAGGACCCAGACCCCGGCACCCUCAACAUCAUAAGGAAUCAGACGGAUGCGGAAACCGAGACGGGCUGGAUAGGAAACUCUUUCCAGGAAGGCUCCGGGGCACUCAACUGGUCUCCAACCUUCCCCUGCAACCUGUGACGCCUGCCAUUUUCCCAUUUUAGGCGAUGGCAACGCAACCCCUCCGUUUGCUCUGGGCAAAACUUCGAGAGUUCCCUCUGAAGCUGGAGCUUUUUCCUCAGAUCCAAGAUCCAAUUGGUCACCAAUUCGUGAUUUCCGUCGGCCAAGUGCGUGGGCAUUGAUCUACACGCGAGUUUCUCCACCUCUGCCGAAUGGCUACUUCGGGGUGGGGGAGGGGCCCUCCCGCCGUGGAUUGCAAGGUGUUUAGCAGCAUCUGUCUCCUCCGCUGACUAGACACAUGCCAGGGGGAUAACAUUCUCCCUCCCGCUUCCCCCAGCCGCGGCCUAGUGUCCCAGCGGGGUUGGGAGAGGCAUGUGAGGGCCAAGUUGCCCCCUGUUGAGAACCAUUGCUGCGCGUAGUCCUUCUCUCUGAACUUGUGCAGAGGACUCUCCAGGUGAAGGCUCAAGGGUGGAUCCAGCUCGAGACACCCUCGCUCCCCCUCACAGUCGGACCUUAGGAUUUAGGCUUUAACAUCUCCACAUCAUGAGAUUCGAAACCUUUAGGUCUUGUCUUCCGUUCUGUCCUCCAAAUCGGCCUCUUCCGAGCCUGUUGACCAGGGCCAGCCGGGCAGAGGGCUGGGCUCGCUCAACGAGGCUCCUCUCGCACCUCCUGGAGCUUCAGGCUUCUUUCCGUUGCAGAGAAGCUUUAUGGGCCAAUUCGUUCGGCAUCCCCGGGGGCAGGUGCGCGGUGCGCGGGGAAGAAGAGGAUUUGACUGCGGUUCUCCACCCCCGGCGCCCAACCUCCACCCCGGUGCGCGCGCUCUUCCAGGCUCCUGCUGGUCCCACUUGCCAGGAGUUAGGUCUCAGGUCAGCCUGAGCUCCUGAGACGCCCAGGCCCGGAAAGACACGUAGGGGAAACCAUCUGCUCACUUCUGUCCUGUCCGGAAGGGAUCCCUUUCUGACGGGAAAGAAAGGCGCUAAACAAGCACUGGCCUUGAGAUAAGCAAUGCUGAAGCACUUGCAGCUCACCUAUUACCAUAAACUGACUGAGCCCUCCCUACACAAGCCGUAACUACUGCUUUGAUUGGACAAGAGACUGAUUUCAGUAGUUUUCUCUUGAUAAGAGACCACUGGCCGUGGGCGGGUUCUGGACAGUUUACAGAAGCUAUGCACUUGAUUGCCUUUGUGUCCCUGCUUCACCUUUUGAAGCAUAGGGCCUAAUUAUAAUGUAUUUAAAUGUUGUCUCCACCCCAAAGUGAACAUGGGUUGCAUGUAACAGGCAUGUUUACUCAGCAUGCAUGCAGCAGGAUCCCUUCACAAAUAUUCAGAGCUCCCCCUAUUCCCUGUUGAAUAUGUAUAUGUGGCCAGCCAGAUCAACGUAAAUCACUAUUCGCCCUCCCCUCCCUGGAAACCUACUUUUCGGGUUUCAGCAGGAAGCUAUGCCUCCCCGUCUGUCAGAAUGGCCACUUGCAGGCUGUAACCCUUUAUAAAAAAAUAAAAUCUCCUUUCUAAAUUUA